rnacentral:rRNA from 1 species
CAAUAGCGUAUAUUAAAGUUGUUGCAGUUAAAAAGCUCGUAGUUGGAUUUCUGGCAGGAGCGACCGGUCAUGCACUAUGUGCGUGAACUUGUGUUGUCUCUGGCCAUCCUUGGGGAGAUCCUGUUUGGCAUUAAGUUGUCGGGCAGGGGAUACCCAUCGUUUACUGUGAAAAAUUAGAGUGUUUAAAGCAGGCUUAUGCCGUUGAAUAUAUUAGCAUGGAAUAAUAAGAUAGGACUUCGGAACUAUUUUGUUGGUUUGCGUUACGAAGUAAUGAUUAAUAGGGACAAUUGGGGGCAUUCGUAUUAACGCGUCAGAGGUGGAAUUCUUGGAUUGCGUUACGACGAACUACUGCGAAAGCAUUUGCCAAGGAUGUUUUCAUUGAUCAAGAGCGAAAGUAAGGGGAUCGAAGAUGAUCAGAUACCAU